rnacentral:lncRNA from 1 species
CCUAAUUUUUGAAGUAUUUUUUUCUUAGAAAUUUUACUGAAUCCAAAAUAAAACAAGAAGAUCAUGAGUCCAGAAUUCUCUUUUCUCAACACUAGAUGGCAGUAGAGUUAAAGAAAAAACAUCCCAGCAGUUCUUUGUACAGGGAUUUGGUGAUUUUUCCCAUAAAGCUGCGAUGAGGAUGGACUCAGAGCAAAAUCUAU